GAUCACCGCACCGUCGGGGCCUGGCGCGCGCACUUCAGCUGCAUACAUAAAGGAUCGUUCACGUUCAAUGGCUUCAGGUCCAGCGAGAUUGAGGAGGAUGUAAGCCCUAGUCCUGGCAGCCUUGUCUGGGUGCGCUGCGGCGAUGAAUAUUUCAUAUUCCCUCUCGAAGAUCCGCCAGCUCUCCGCGACGUUUCCUUCAAACGUAACAGGGUCCGGACGGCGAAAUCCAUCCGCCAUUGUAGCUGGGGCUAGCUUCAGCCAGCUAGUUAGCGUUAGCACGGUCCGUGGAAAAACAAUUCUCCAGACGAGAGGAGAGGCUCGUGCCGUCUUCUGACACCAUGUAGAAGUUGUCAAUACUUCUUAAUACAUGCAUGUGUGUAUGUACAAGGAAUACACAAUGCAUAGGCAAGUGGUGGCUUUAUUUAUGACCACAGCAUGUACAGUGAACAUGUACGUUGCAUGCCGACUAACAACUGAAUGCCAUUGCCUAUUACCUUAACACGUCACCGUGUGGCGCACCAGCUACGGUGGCCUGCAAAGGACAAACUUAAUCAUAUGAGAAUGAUCUACAAGGGUGACGAUCCACCCGCUGUGAAAUGAACUUAUCUUCCAUAUUUGCCGUACACUUGUGUUUAAGUUGAGAUGUUUCUCGGUUGUGAUUGGUUGUUCCUCGUCACAUGACGAGGGUUGCGCGCUGCUGCAGUGCACGUCUCCAUUGAAACCAAUGGGAAUGAGCUCGCAACGAUGAUGUGUAUGGCUCCGUACAAAGUUGUACUCAUUGCAUUAGUAUAGGCUACUGUAGCUUUUUACACUGGAGGCGCCCAUCUCGGCCGAAGUCGGUUCAUAUAAACCUAAAGGUACAUAAUUAAAUGGUAAUUGGUGUGGAGAAGAUUGACCUCAGCCUUGCUUUGAACAUUGUUCCAAAGGCUCUGUAGUACAUGAGUUUAAGCGCAUAACAACCCUGCCCCUCCAAUCAAGAGUUCUCUCUCAGCUGGAUGUGCUAUCUGACACACUUCUGAAGGUUUUUGAGAAGAGAGGAGGACAGAUAGGCCAGCGUCUGAACUGUAUUAUGUCAAACAUGACUCAAGCAGAAGAUGAAGACGUCAUGCUGCGGUCCAUUCAGGGGAUUACAGUGGGCCUUUAUGUUGUCAAACACAAUUCCACCAUGAGACCAGAGGACAGAUGAGACCAGAGGACAGAUGAGACCAGAGGACAGAUGAGACCAGAGGACAGAUGAGACCAGAUGAGACCAGAGGACAGAUGAGACCAGAUGAGACCAGAGGACAGAUUGUCCUGGAAGGCCAACAGGUACUAACUGAUGUGGACAACAUUGCAUUAGCUGCUACCAUGCUGUUUGGACUAAUGUAUGCAAUGAACCUGAACGACCCCCCUAGACUGAAGUGCACGUUCGAAGUGCUCCAGCAAAUGUUAAUGGAGCUAGACGGCAACAUGCUCUCCAAGAAAGCCCAAGCGUUUAAAAACAAACUAUUUGAGUGAGCUGUUGCCAUGGACCAUUGUGCACUUUUACAGCAUUCAUACUGGACUUUCAUCGAUACAACUGUCUUGCACUUCCUUUGCUCAUGCUUUUUGCUUAAUUUGCAUGUUUCAGAAAUGUGUUUUUUUCCUGGGGUCAUGUGUUUUCAGAAUGUACCAAUUGCACUAAUUGUACUAAUGUACUAACUUCAAAAUGUCAGUUCUUGUUUUUAUUUGUAAUACUUUCUUUAGUGCAUAUGUGGUGAGAAACCAGGCCAUUAUUAUACUUCCAUGUAUUUUUCCAAAGCAAUGCCAUUGCUUUUUUGUAUGAAUGUGCCCUUUCAUAUUAGCAGGUUACUAUUUAAAUAAUGGAUUUGCAAGAACAUUUCCUUUUUUCGGCUAGGCGUUGACAUUUUCUGUUAAUUGUUUACUAUGAAUGAGUUACACAAAUAAGCCUUUCUUUGCCAUUUGGCACAAUAAACCUUUAUUUUGGUCGGGAGAAUAGUUUCCUUUAAGCUUCUUUGCUGUGUUCUAACACAAUAAUGUAUAUGUACAUGCAUCACAAACAUUUUCUAUUUCUUUAUUUUCAAUGUAUUUGUUAAUUCUCCUGGCAUAGUUUAGGCUGCAUGAUGGAGGAACCAAAAGCUCAUCUGGAUGUGUGGUGGUUGUUAAUAUUGUUUUAUUUUUUGAGAAAAAUACAUGAAUGUUGUUCAAAGAAAUGUGUUUGUCUUUAUUGACUAUUUGUUUUAAAAUGUUAUGAUAA